rnacentral:rRNA from 1 species
CCUACGGGAGGCAGCAGUGAGGAAUAUUGGGCAAUGGACGAGAGCCUGAACCAGCCAAGUAGCGUGAAGGAUGACUGCCCUAUGGGUUGUAAACUUCUUUUAUAUGGGAAUAAAACAGGGUAUGCAUACCCUCUUGUAUGUACCAUAUGAAUAAGGAUCGGCUAACUUCGUGCCAGCAGCCGAGGGAAUAUGGAGGAUCCGAGCGUUAUCCGGAUUUAUUGGGUUUAAAGGGAGCGUAGGUGGAUUGUUAAGUCAGUUGUGAAAGUUUGCGGCUCAACCGUAAAAUUGCAGUUGAAACUGGCAGUCUUGAGUACAGUAGAGGUGGGCGGAAUUCGUGGUGUAGCGGUGAAAUGCUUAGAUAUCACGAAGAACACCGAUUGCGAAGGCAGCUCACUGGACUGCAACUGACACUGAUGCUCGAAAGUGUGGGUAUCAAACAGGAUUAGAUACCCUUGUAGUC